UCGUUCAGUCUGAUUACUCAGCAUAAUAAUAUGAUUCGAUACAAUUCAGUUUGAGAAAUUCGGAAGUUAUUCAAUGCGCCGUACUGACAUACCCACACCAACGUGUCUCAGUCAGUUAUCAGAACGUAGUUUUUCGUAGGCAGCUGAUAUACAUCUGAGAAAUUUCCUGCGCCUAUAGAACUCGAAAGUUCGCUACCCUUUUCACAAAUGGAAGGUAUUUGGCUUUAUUCUGGGUCACUUGAAUUCAAUCAACAACACACUUCUCUAGCAAUCCUUUCAUCUACGCAUCAUAAGCGAGUUCUCUACUUUGGAUUUUCGGACAAAAAGUCUCUACGCCAUAUUUACAUCUCCAGCAGAUACAAACGACACCGGAGUCGACAGUGUCAUGUCUCAGAACGCGUUCACUAAGCCUGGGAAGAUAUGCUGCAAUCUGUUAGAGCUGAAACUGGAGCAUUGUACGCCUGAUGAUGACCCGAUGAAAACUCUAGCUCAAGAGACUGGAGUGUCGAAGUGUAACGCAAGAACGGGAACACAAUUGCUGAAGCUUAGACCGUAUAAAACAACAGCAAUCCACUCCUUGCAGCCGCGCGAUCCAGCUAGCAGGAUAAUUUUUGCAGUUGGUUUCUACAGUCUGUCGUCGAAGGUGAGGUCGAUCCGCAAUUGAUUUUCUUUUCUGAUGAAGCGUCGUUUCACUUGCAAGGAUACAUAAAUACGCAAAAUAAUCGCUGCUGGCGUCCACGGAAUCCACAUCUAACCCAUGAGGUCUCGCUCCAUCCAGUGCAAGUUGGGGUCUGGUGUGCUGUAAGUUCAAGAAGGAUUGUUGGACCUGUGUUUUUAACGAAACACUUAAUUGCGAGAGAUAUGUACAGGGCAAUUAUUUUCGAAAUUAACAGAAGAAGAAAGACUCUAUGGCUGGUUCCAGCAAGACUCAGCUACUGCCCACACUGCACGUACGUCUAUGCAGACAAAAGUAAGAACUUCCCUUCAU